CGGGGCGUGGCGUAGCUUGGUAGCGCACCAGUAUGGGGUACUGGAGGUCAGUGGUUCAAAUCCACUCGUCCCGACCA
rnacentral:tRNA from 1 species